ensembl:lncRNA
GCUACACUCUCUAAUCUUUCAUUAUUACAUCCAUUACUGCCAGAAAAAACUAUUAUCUCCUUUCAUUAGGAAAAAGACGUGUUUUCCACUAAAACCCGGAGACUAGAAGACAAUCUGAAUGACUUAAAGGUCAAACUAUCCGGAGCUUUAAUGGACAAAGACUGUCUUGUCCAGGUCUGACAUCACAUUUCAUAUUAAGCUAUGACCUAACACAAUAUCAACAGUUUUAUCAGACAAAAUUGUAUUUAUAGAACACAUUGUACUACUUGCUUUUAGCAUUGAUUGCCCCUGCUGUCCUUGACCUUUUCUGGGUCGCAGUCCUCCAGUUCAGAAGCACUGUUUUAGAUGUGAUAUGGUAUAAACGCUGACCUUUCUGUCUAUGUCUGUAAAGGAGAACGCAGAGCUCCAUCAGAGGAUCCAGGCUUUGGAUCUGCAGUUGCAGAGGGAGCAGAGGAGCAAACAGGGCUUCACUGAGCAGGUGUGUGAGCUCCAUUCUGAGCUGUCUCAAGCUAAGAGCCAGACCAACAAACAGAAGAGGGAAACCAUGUUGAUGAAGGAGGAGCUGCUUUCCAUUAAAGAGUUGAACGAAAAGCUGUCAUCUGAUCUGACCAAAGCUACAGAGAGACUACAGGUGAUUCUUAACCAGCUACACGAGCUGGAGGCAGAGAAACUGAUCCAAACCAAUCAGAUUGCGGCACUGGAGACUGAGCGCUUGCAGCUGAUAGGAGAGAAAGAGGAACUGAGGAAAACAUUUGAUGAUGGACUUCAUGAGAAGAUGAUAGAGCUGGGAGAGAGAUGCUGCCAGCACAGGUCGGACAACUCUGUCCAUUAUCUAACUUCAGUGUUGCUUGGAAAUGAUUAUUAAUAUUGACUGUACAGAUUUUUUUGGCUCUGAUCCAGGUUAUUAAUUCCAUAUAUACAGAGAAUUGCAGGACAAUCUAGAACAAGAAAAUCAGACUCUGCAAUUAAAAUGUCAAGACCUGGAAAAAAAAGUCAAAAUCUCGGAGGCGGGGUAUAAGCAUAAAGAGGAGGAGCAACAUCAAAUGAGGGCGGAGCUUGAGCAGGAAAAGGAGGAGUUGAGGAAACUGGCUGCUCACUGGAAUGAGAGGUGGCUGGAUGUGGCGAUGACGUUAUGCUCGACACAAGCAGAACUCGAUGAGCUCAAGAGUCAACAGCGAGUGAAUGACAACGUAACUUUUGUUUUCAUUUUUUGUUUCCUUUCAUUGGUCUAAUGUGACCAUUUGUCAAGUGUAGUGUUGCUGUGUUUUAUGUCAGUAUAUCUUUACUCUGACUUACAGCGAGAGCCUGAAGUUUCGCAACAGAUAGAGCCUGAGAGGGACCAAAGCCAAGUGCAGCAGAGACUCACGGGUAGCUCUGUAUGUCCUUUGUUCUAAGUCAAAAAAGUCCCUCGUGAAUAAAUAUAUAAUAUGCAUUUAAAGAGCUGUUUGGUCACAAUGUCAACUUGUAGGUCAAACUGUUUUUUAACCUCCCAAUGUUAAAAAUGUCAUGUCCAAGGUGUCUCUUGAAGUCGUGGAUGGAGAGUUGGUGCAGGUGAAGGCGGAGCUGCUGAAGGUGAGGGACAUGCUGAAAAUCAGAGACACUGAGCUGGAGGAACAGCUCCAGGAGCUGCAGUCUGCUCACCAUCAGGUGGGACCUGCAAACCUGACAGAGAUCUGUGUCAUCUUGGUUGACUGAUGCGAUAACAGAGAUAUGAUUUUUCUUGUGCAGGAGUCACAACAGAGCGAUGAGGUCCAGAGGUUGGAGCAGCUUCUUGCAAAGAGAGAUCAGGAAAUUAAAGAAAAGUAUGUAUAUUUUACUCAUAAUCAUUCCCGUAUGAAAAAAACACGUGUUUAUAUGAUUUAAAUUAUAUGUAAUAUUAAACGUUUAUUUUCUGACCAAAAUGCAUAUUUCAAAUAUAUGCUCGGUAUGUGGGGAAUUAAAGGGAAAAAAUGAAAGGGAAAAAAUGCACUACCAAUCAAAAGUUGAUAUAUAUAUAUAUAUAUAUAUAUGAAGAGUUCAGG